rnacentral:rRNA from 1 species
GUGUCAGCAGCCGCGGUAAUACAGGGGGGGCGAGCGUUGUUCGGAAUUACUGGGCGUAAAGGGUUUGUAGGUGGCUUGUUAAGUCAGACGUGAAAUCCCUCAGCUUAACUGGGGAACUGCGUCUGAUACUGAUGAGCUUGAGUGCAGGAGAGGAACGCGGAAUUCCAGGUGUAGCGGUGAAAUGCGUAGAUAUCUGGAGGAACACCGGUGGCGAAGGCGGCGUUCUGGACUGCAACUGACACUGAAAAACGAAAGCCAGGGUAGCAAACGGGAUUAGAAACCCGCGUAGUCC